rnacentral:rRNA from 1 species
UACGUAGGGUGCGAGCGUUGUCCGGAAUUAUUGGGCGUAAAGAGCUUGUAGGCGGUUUGUCGCGUCUGCUGUGAAAAUCCGGGGCUCAACCCCGGACUUGCAGUGGGUACGGGCAGACUAGAGUGUGGUAGGGGAGACUGGAAUUCCUGGUGUAGCGGUGAAAUGCGCAGAUAUCAGGAGGAACACCGGUGGCGAAGGCGGAUCUCUGGGCCAGUACUGACACUGGAGGAGCGGAAAAGCGUGGGGAGCGAACAGG